UAGCUCAGUGGUAGAGCAAUUGACUGCAGAUCAAUAGGUCACCGGUUUGAACCCGGU
rfam:Triticum aestivum genome assembly, contig: Triticum_aestivum_CS42_TGACv1_scaffold_434235_5DL